UGGAGGAGGCUGGCCCUGUGACCUAUGUUAACCAAUAGAAUAUGGCUGAAGAGAAACUGUAUCAGAUCUGGGCUCAAGCCUCAAGAAGGCCUGGCAGCUUCUGCUUAUAUGAUUUGGAGGAAGCUACUCACAGUGUAAGAAGUUGGACUGCCAGUCUUAAGAAGCCUAACCUAAACAUGUGGAGAGAGGCCCUAAGGAUUAAUAGCCGAGCCCUAGAGAACAGCCUCAGCUGAGCAACCAGCCGACAGCCAGCGCCACUUGCCAGCCAGGUUAAUGAAGCCAUCUAGGAAGUGGAUCCUCCAGCCCUAGCUGAACCACUCUAAAAUGAUGCCAUGUGGAGCAGGUGUCCCCACAGAGCCCCACCUAAGUUGCAGAAUUGGGAGCAAGAGAAAGAAUAAAAUGACGAAAUAUGCUUAGAGAAAUGCACUAAAGGUCAUCUCUGUCUUGAACGUGCCAGCUACUUGAGUACAACAAGGAUGCCCUUCUCUUCUCGCUUUCGUUUCUUCACUUUCAAAGAGGUAAGGAGAUC